CCUACGGGAGGCAGCAGUGAGGAAUAGUGGUCAAUGGGCGCGAGCCUGAACCAGCCAAGUCGCGUGAGGGAAGACGGUCCUAUGGAUUGUAAACCUCUUUUGUCGGGGAGCAAAAGACGCCACGCGUGGCGUUCCGAGAGUACCCGAAGAAAAAGCAUCGGCUAACUCCGUGCCAGCAGCGGCGGUAAUACGGAGGAUGCGAGCUUUAUCCGGAUUGAUUGGGUGUAAAGGGUGCGCAGGCGGAAGAUCAAGUCAGCGGUAAAAUUGAGAGGCUCAACCUCUUCGAGCCGUUGAAACUGGUUUUCUUGAGUGAGCGAGAAGUAUGCGGAAUGCGUGGUGUAGCGGUG
rnacentral:rRNA from 1 species